AUUGAACGCUGGCGGCAGGCUUAACACAUGCAAGUCGAGCGGAGAUGAGGUGCUUGCACCUUAUCUUAGCGGCGGACGGGUGAGUAAUGCUUAGGAAUCUGCCUAUUAGUGGGGGACAACAUUCCGAAAGGAAUGCUAAUACCGCAUACGCCCUACGAGGGAAAGCAGGGGAUCUUCGGACCUUGCGCUAAUAGAUGAGCCUAAGUCGGAUUAGCUAGUUGGUGGGGUAAAGGCCUACCAAGGCGACGAUCUGUAGCGGGUCUGAGAGGAUGAUCCGCGACACUGGGACUGAGACACGGCCCAGACUCCUACGGGAGGCAGCAGUGGGGAAUAUUGGACAAUGGGCGGAAGCCUGAUCCAGCCAUGCCGCGUGUGUGAAGAAGGCCUUUUGGUUGUAAAGCACUUUAAGCGAGGAGGAGGCUACCUGGAUUAAUACUCUAGGAUAGUGGACGUUACUCGCAGAAUAAGCACCGGCUAACUCUGUGCCAGCAGCCGCAGUAACAC
rnacentral:rRNA from 1 species